rnacentral:rRNA from 1 species
AUUCCAGCUCCAAUAGCGUAUAUUUAAGUUGUUGCAGUUAAAAAGCUCGUAGUUGGAUUUCGGAUGGGAUUUGCCGGUCCGCCUUUGAGGUGUGUACUGGUAGGUCCUAUCUUGUUGUCGGGGACUAGCUCCUGGGCUUCACUGUCCGGGACUAGGAGCCGACGAAGUUACUUUGAGUAAAUUAGAGUGUUCAAAGCAAGCCUACGCUCUGAAUAUAUUAGCAUGGAAUAACACGAUAGGACUCUGGCUUAUCUUGUUGGUCUGUGAGACCAGAGUAAUGAUUAAGAGGGACAGUCGGGGACAUUCGUAUUUCAUUGUCAGAGGUGAAAUUCUUGGAUUUAUGAAAGACGAACUUCUGCGAAAGCAUUUGUCAAGGAUGUUUUCAUUA